rnacentral:rRNA from 1 species
GAUGAACGCUAGCUACAGGCUUAACACAUGCAAGUCGAGGGGCAUCAGGAAGAAAGCUUGCUUUCUUUGCUGGCGACCGGCGCACGGGUGAGUAACACGUAUCCAACCUGCCCUUUACUCGGGGAUAGCCUUUCGAAAGAAAGAUUAAUACCCGAUGGCAUAAUGAUUCCGCAUGGUUUCAUUAUUAAAGGAUUCCGGUAAAGGAUGGGGAUGCGUUCCAUUAGGUUGUUGGUGAGGUAACGGCCCACCAAGCCUUCGAUGGAUAGGGGUUCUGAGAGGAAGGUCCCCCACAUUGGAACUGAGACACGGUCCAAACUCCUACGGGAGGCAGCAGUGAGGAAUAUUGGUCAAUGGGCGCUAGCCUGAACCAGCCAAGUAGCGUGAAGGAUGAAGGCUCUAUGGGUCGUAAACUUCUUUUAUAUAAGAAUAAAGUGCAGUAUGUAUACUGUUUUGUAUGUAUUAUAUGAAUAAGGAUCGGCUAACUCCGUGCCAGCAGCCGCGGUAAUACGGAGGAUCCGAGCGUUAUCCGGAUUUAUUGGGUUUAAAGGGAGCGUAGGUGGACUGGUAAGUCAGUUGUGAAAGUUUGCGGCUCAACCGUAAAAUUGCAGUUGAUACUGUCAGUCUUGAGUACAGUAGAGGUGGGCGGAAUUCGUGGUGUAGCGGUGAAAUGCUUAGAUAUCACGAAGAACUCCGAUUGCGAAGGCAGCUCACUGGACUGCAACUGACACUGAUGCUCGAAAGUGUGGGUAUCAAACAGGAUUAGAUACCCUGGUAGUCCACACAGUAAACGAUGAAUACUCGCUGUUUGCGAUAUACAGUAAGCGGCCAAGCAAAAGCAUUAAGUAUUCCACCUGGGGAGUACGCCGGCAACGGUGAAACUCAAAGGAAUUGACGGGGGCCCGCACAAGCGGAGGAACAUGUGGUUUAAUUCGAUGAUACGCGAGGAACCUUACCCGGGCUUAAAUUGCAGUGGAAUGAUGUGGAAACAUGUCAGUGAGCAAUCACCGCUGUGAAGGUGCUGCAUGGUUGUCGUCAGCUCGUGCCGUGAAGUGUCGGCUUAAGUGCCAUAACGAGCGCAACCCUUAUCUUUAGUUACUAACAGGUUAUGCUGAGGACUCUAGAGAGACUGCCGUCGUAAGAUGUGAGGAAGGUGGGGAUGACGUCAAAUCAGCACGGCCCUUACGUCCGGGGCUACACACGUGUUACAAUGGGGGGUACAGAAGGCAGCUAGCGGGUGACCGUAUGCUAAUCCCAAAAGCCUCUCUCAGUUCGGAUCGAAGUCUGCAACCCGACUUCGUGAAGCUGGAUUCGCUAGUAAUCGCGCAUCAGCCACGGCGCGGUGAAUACGUUCCCGGGCCUUGUACACACCGCCCGUCAAGCCAUGGGAGCCGGGGGUACCUGAAGUACGUAACCGCAAGGAUCGUCCUAGGGUAAAACUGGUGACUGGGGCU